CCCGGCCCCGGGGAGGGGGCAGCGAUCGGCCCCCGGGGGUGCGGAGCAGCCCCGCACCCUGCCGGCUGCGCGCGGUUUGGGGCCGCAGGGGUGCAGCGCUCCCCCCCUGCCAGGCUCGUUUAGCCCCCGGGGAAACGGAGGCAGCGGGGGGUUAUUUAUUUGUUCGGUUCGUCUUUUUCCAAGCUCUUUUGCCAAGGCAGGGGAACGCUGCGACCAGAGGGCAGACCGCGCUAUUCGCCGUGCGGCGCUCGGGGGAGGAACGCCCGGCGGCCGGCAGCGCUGCCCCGUGCAGGGGAGCGCAGCGGCGUUGUCCGAGGGCCAGCAGGGAGCAGGGAGAGGCGGCUCCAGGCUCCCUGCUCGCCGCUGGAGCGGUCACAGCAAAGCCACGGCUCCCCUCCCCGUCCCUUCGCGCCGGGAUGAUGGCCUUAAAGUUUGUCUCGGCGUAUUUGCUUUGCGUGGUGUGGUGCAACUGUCAGGGUACACAAGCGAUAGGGGAUCUGUGCCCUGAACCCAAAGGGGACCGGCUUACAGGCGGUUCUGAACCAGCGAGGUACGUGCACGGCAACAUGGGAGCCCAGAGCCUGCAGAAUGGCAGGGUAAGUUUGGGAAGGAAGACUGAAUCUUGCUGUCCGUUUUAAUUAAAGACACCCACCUUGGGAAUCAAACUUAUAUUUUCACUCUCUUACUCCCACAUUUACCUGUCUACAAGCUGGUGAUUCAUCGCCAGAAUAAAGGACAUUAAUUUAAAACAAAACAUAUAAUUAAAGGAAGUAGGAGUGUCCUUCGCCUCAGUAAAGAAGACCUAGCACUGCAGGGAAAAUGACACUGCCUCUUAGAAUAAUGUGAAGCAAUCCUGCGGUGUGGGAAAUAUUGUAACGUUAAGCCAGAGGAACAGGUAUUGCAUUAUACGAUUCAAACAGUCAACUGUUCAUAAUGUUCAAACCUCAGAACUGUGAAAAGAGGAAGAAUUCAGAAAUCAGUCAGUGGACCAUCACACUUUUUCCUUCUUGCAUUUUUUAGCUUUCUUUGCUUUUUCUUCUCGCGUUCUGAAGGGAUUUUUCUUGCCAUAACAAAAGUACCCUAACAGGUUUCAGGCUUCAAAUAUUUCUAGUUCCAUCUUUAUCUACCAAGUUAAUCUUUGGUGAAUGCACCAGAGAUUAAAUUGGAGCUGGGCCUGGCCAGAGAUCUGGGUCUGGAGGUUGUAGUUGGAGCCCAUACCUUCAUAAAUACAAACAUCUGUAUUGGGUGCAAAUACUGGCAAGUCGUAGGGAGCCGGGGCUUGUUCUCCUGGCUGUUUACCCUCUCGUUCUGUGUCUUUAUCCUGCGUUCUGAUCUGGCAGUUACAUCCAGCGGCUGCCCUAACUGGCCCUUGCAACUGAACUCUUGAAAAUCGGUCUCAUGCGCUUCCUACCUCCAAAACAGCUCGGGAACCCACAAGCAGAAGGUCUCCUGCUGAAAUGCGUGUUUGGUUUUUCUUGGCAUUACCCCGACGGGUUGCCACGGCUGCCACGGCCGCUGGCUAAAAUCGAACGCUCAAACCGAUCGCUCAGCAGCAGAAAGCCGUACUCCCGCCCAGGCUGAUCUUCCCUAACAAAAUAAAACGUCUGUGCAACUGUCAUGUGAAAUAGAUUAUAUCAGGGAUGGUGUGGCCCACACCUCCUUUUCCAGGCCAGUGCUGAGUAAUCCCAUAGUCACUGAGAUCACACGUCAGCCGGAGUGGUAAUUGAGGUUGGAUGCCCAGCUUGUCCCCUCCUUCCCUUCUCCCCCCUCACCUCCCUGCUGCACCAGGAUCUCUUUAAACUUCCUCCAGCUCACCUCAAAUCCCAACAUCCACUCUCACGGAGCCAACGUCCAUUCUCAGCUUCUCAUGGGAACCUUGUUGGCGGGACUAACCACUCAUCCAAAACCCUAACGUUCGGCAAGCAGGUUUUGAGCUAACUCCGGUCUCUUUUAAAUUGUUUCUGCACUUGUCAUAACAAAUGCACGGCCAGAAAUGGGGUUUUUGAAAUGGGAACAGGUGUAGGGCGAAGCUCGCACCGCAGAGGAUUGGGUGGAGGUCUUGGCACACCGAGCUCCGUCCCUGCAAAUGCCACGGCUUGGCCAGGCCAGGUGUGCAGAGGCUGCUAAUGGUCCUGGAAAGCCUUCUCCACACAGAGGUGCCUGGGUAGGAAGAGAGAUGCAGACCUUCCUGGUGAAGGGAUCUGGGCACUGGCCUUACUCUCCAUAGCGGGUCUUCUGACAGAGCAGAUUGCAGCAGAAAGGCAGCAUUUCUAUGAAAAGCACCUUCUUUUUACUGAUUUCGUGAUACAGUUUUUCAGAACUAGUCAGCUGGGGAAGGAGAUGGCAUUAGUCACAAAUUAGUGAGAACAUCAACAUUUUUGAGCAGCAAAAGAUGUUUUUCUGAUGCAAUAAAAUCCAGAUUCCUCUUUAUUCGCGUGUGAAACAAUAUAGAUACUGGAAGGGUAAGACAAGGAUAUGAAAAGGGGAAAAGUGGAGGAAAGAAUUUCAUUGUCACUGCUCAGUGCUGUCAUGAAUUAAAUUCUGCUUUCCAGUUUCCCUUUUGUGCUGUAGAAGCCACACAUUUCCAGCUGCAGGCUCAGACCUACAAUAAAGCAUUGCAGAGACUUUUUUUUUUUUUUUUUCCUGGAAAUUGUCUCCUUUUCUAGGAUUUCUUGCAAAUUUUCCAGUUCCCACACUCCAGGUCUAUAGCAGCUGUCCCUAGAAGGACACUAGCUUUGGGGAGGUGUUAUUAGUUUAAUGGUCACAGAUCAAACACUGAAGCAUUUCUAAGAAGGUCUGUGGGCUGGGGUUUGUACUCUAGAUAAAGGCUGUCUAUAAUUUCUGAUGCUUCUUGCUGUAGACCCGUCUCACGUAUUACUUGCCUUGCAGUAGCUCAUAGCUGAUCAAUAAGAUCAAGGCUCCAUCAUGCUAAUAAAAACCCUGUGUGAGCACAGCUGCUCACCCACAGACCUGCAGUCUGAAAUGCGAUGUGGAGGGGCAGAAGAAGGGCAAAGAGGCAAGAAGUUAAUGCUAGAAGCUGACAUCAGUGAACAAGGUGCUGUAGGUGGUAUGUUGGAGGUGAGCAGAGAGGAGAACGUGAGGGGUUUCAGAGCAGACUGGUGUCCCCGCGCGUGGGCACACUGGGGGAGAGCACAGGGGUGGUGUGGGAAGGUCUCAGGGGGUAGGAAGUGACCUUUCCUGAAAGCCCGGCUUGAGCAAUGUUACAAUAAAAGCUGCAAAAUAGAGAAGUAAAAUUGAAAUUUAUUUCUGAGCAUGUUGUGUGCUCUGUUUUUAACUUCUUCCUAGCCCCAGGUCCCUCUUUAUACAGCCGCACACCUUCUGCCAGCAACGACUCAUAAGUUGUACCUGGCAGAGGCCAGAUUUCAAUCUAUUGCUUUCAACUUGCUCUUCUCCACUGUUAAAAAACAAACAAAUAAACAAAAAAAAAAAAACAGCAUUUAUGAAAUGUCAGGCAGGGACAAUGUCUCAACUCAGAGAGAGGUUGGCAGGGACAAUGUCUCAACUCAAAGAGAGGUUGGCUCUCCUUCCAUCUCCCCCAGCUCUUAGACCAGGCCUGAGACUUUGCCUCAUUUUAACAUAAAAAACUAUUGCCACAUGCUUUCCUCUCUUCUUAAACCGCAGCUGUGGUACUCUGCAUUGCAGUCUCCAGUGGCAGGGAGCUCCCCAGGCGAGUUGCAGGCUGUGUCUCCUGGCCUCCUUCGGUUCUUUUGUUACAGACCAGAGUCCUCCCCCUCCCCGAGGGCUCCCUCACCCCUUAUUCCCAUGUGACUUGGGGAUGCUUGGGUAUUUGUUGGUCUUCUGCUGAUUUUCUGCUCACCUCUGACCUAGCAUGCUUGGCCUUUGCAGUGCUAGGUUGCUCAAUCCCCGCUUUAUCUACAUGUUGCUCUUUGCCCUACCGAGUGCUGCAGAGACGACACCUGGAGAUUGGCACCACUGCCUCCAGCCAGUGGGACAACAUGAGCAAAAUACCUUCCCCUACCAGACUCUGAAAAAUUUCCAGAGCAAAUUGGAGGUCAGAGCACCCACUCUGUGGCUCUGUGAAGGAAAGAAAAGGAGGGGGCGUCUGAGUGCACACAAAUGCCCAUGGAAGGGAACAGCGACAAAGCAGAAGCCAUAGGCGCCAGUGCUGUAUUGCAAAGUCUGUACUGAAGUCAUUUGGCUGGCAAGAUGUGGGUUUUCUGUCUGAGCAGGGACAGCAAGAGGUGACUUUGUGUAUUAUGAGUAGCCGGUCUCCUUGCACGCUCACGACCCUCUGCGCCACUCAAAAAAAAAAAAAAAAAAAAAAAAAAAAAAGUAGAGAAGUUGCUGUCCACUAAUUUUCCAGAAGUUCUCCAUGGUUAUCUCACAUUUCCUAGGUAAUCAAAAUCUCCUAGUCUGAUGACUUUGUUACAGAGCAUGCAUUAAUACUUUUUUUUCUAGAGUACUCAGGCUUUCAAAAAAAUUGUCAAGGAAACAGGAAUCUAACCCUUUUAGGGGACUCUGGCAAGUGUCAGGAGUAGAUAUUGUUAAUUCAUUUAGGAAAUUUUCAAAAGAAAAGAACUCUUCAGGGGACCUGAGGCUGGGGCCAGGUAACUGGAACCUCAGGGUGUGUAUUGGCAGGGGUAAGGUAAACCGAAGGAAGACUUAGGUUGACAGAAGAGUGUGCCUCAGUGAAGAAUAAUCAGAUUUUUUAUUAAAAGCAUUAGAGGUCCGCUCCCCAGACUUCACGAUUACUUUUUAUUCAGCUGCUUUCAUCUUGUGUUGAGCACCAUGCGGAAAGUGGGGCUGCCAGGGGAUCAGUUAGGACUUGUCGGUGGUGAGCGCUGGCGUAGAAGAGCAGCCCCUGGGCUGGUCUGUGUCAUCUGGCAGCUGGCCUCGAUGGCCUGGGCACCAGGUGGGGAUAGCCGCCGUGUUCUGUCCCCCACCCACUUCAUUUCUGGGUCCCAGUCAUCUCCCUAUCUUUGCAUUUAUGGCUUUGGAAGGGAGCCGUAGGAGUGGCUAUUCCAGCUCUCCCACCCACUGACACUUUCCCAUGCCAAAGAGUCCAGCAAGGGAGCUGCAGCCAGUUUCUGCUCCCUUCGUGCCUCAUGGAUUAGGAAGAAUUGCAUAAGUGAGGGUAAGAGGCAAGAGAAGUGAGUCUCUGAACUCUGGCUGCUGUGCACUGUGGCAAGCCCUGGUCAGUGCUGUGUGAGCAGGGGGUCUGUGUUCAAAAAUGGCUUCCAGAUCUUUGUGGCGGGCAGCUCUCGGGUACAGAUGGGUAAGGGGGAAAUACAGAAAAGAGGCGAGGUGGCUGCUGUGAAUUCACAGGGUGACACAGCAGCCAGGACCUCUGGUGCCCUGUAAAUUGAAAUCAUUGCCACCACUCAGCCUCAGUUGUGAGGGCUGCACUCUGCUCCUCUCCAGCACGCUGUUGAGUCUGCAGCUGGCAAUAACAGGAGGCAGAUAAAAGACCAGAUAAUUAUUUUCACAAAGAAUGUGCGAAACCUUGUUGAGGUGACGUCUGUCAUAGCCAAAUUGGCAGACAGGCACGGAAGCUGGAAGGGGACAUCUGCCCCGUGCUCCCCUUUGGCACUGAGGAAGACCCGUCACCGGGGCAGGGCUGUUCUGUGUGGGUUUUAUUUUUUAUUUUUUGGGAAGCUCCGUUGCUUUUCCAAACAGGGGAAGCCUGGAACCGAGGGCUGGCGGACCAGGCCUCACCUGUACCCGGGAAGCCAGCGGCCCGGCCCGGUCGCUAGGUGGCGGUACGAGCACGGGCACAGCCCAAAGCCCAAGGCCCAAGGCCCGGGCUCGUACCGCCACCUAGCGACCGGGUCGGGCCGGGCCGGGCACAGCGGGGCCACAUCGCCCCUCAGGCCGGCCGUGGCCGUGUCCUUGGUCGGAGAGAGGGGCUGCCAUGGCAGCCUGAGAGGAAGGAAGCCGGCAGAAUGCCUGGCGAGGCCGGGGUGCUGGCCCCUCACGACGGUGGUCAGAAAGUCCCUCCAAGCCUUCUCACGGCUCGUUGCAGUGAGAGGCGACCCGUCAUGACGUGGUUCGUGUCUGUGUUGCUGGUCUCCUUUCAAAAAAAAACAACACAAAACAACCCUUUAAGUCUCUAUUCUUUCAGAGAGGGCCAAAAGCAACCCUUUAAGUGUCUUUAUUCUUUCAGAUAUGGCCACUUCUUUACUGGACUCCCUGCACAUGGUUUGUCAGCAUGGUGAGUUGAAUCCCCUGGGUUUCGAGCCCUGCCGUAGCUGGGCACACACUGCUCUUUGUCGUCUGGAGCUGUGUCUUGACAGACUUUUCAAAGCUGGGGAGAACUUGUCCCUGCUGCCUGUUCCCUGUGUGUCCCCAGUACCACCAGGACCUGGCAGGUCGCCCUUGCUCAGGAUACCUGCGCACAGCAGGGGCCUUUCACAGUAUGGGGCAGGGAGCUGAAUACAAACAGCACUGCAGGGGCUUGGCUAUAGGCUACCCUUAAAUAAACCAGCCAGGGAUUUAGCUCUUUCAUAGGCCUCUUUAUGGUAAUAUGGUCUAUGAUGUGCUGCCAAUACAGUCUUCAUCUUCUCCAAAUAGCGUCAAGAUUUUACUGCAUAAUUACCUUCUUAAUACAGAUUUCUGUUCAGAGUCUCAAAAAUGUUGUCCUAACUAUACUGGUACUGUACCAUGUCACCAAUAUGCUGUCUGAUGCAUCACUUUAAUUCAUUUUAUUUUAUUUUUCUGUAUUUCAAAAAGGCAUUGGACUCAUGCAAUGCUGAAUCCUCAUGGCUUCCUCCCCUUUCGUGGGACACGGUCAUAAUAACUGUACCAAGUCUGGGAGGUUCACCUGAGUCUAUGAACUAACCUACCAUUUCUCCCACCUCCUCAGCAUGGCAAAGUCUGGGAGGCUCUUAACCUGCUCCAGAAACAGUAAUUUCGGCGCACUGCUAAGUGACAACAUGGAGCAGUUCCUUGAUGGUCGGGUUUGUUGGGUUUUGUGAAGUUCCAGGCCAGAACAGCCUGGUCACAAGCAGUGUUUCUCUCCUGCUGUCUGGAGGGGAGCCCACAUGCCCCCCCCGAGGGAACAGGAACCACAUUUCUCCUGGUGGGUGUGAUUUGCUGUUGGGCAGCCGUCGGGGUGGGACACAAGCCCCAGGCCCAGCCAGCACCAGCCCAGGUUGUGCUUUCCCACCACACGUGCCUUGCUGUCAAAGUGUGGAGAAGUGUCUCAUCCCUUAUGGUGCAUCGUCUGCAGACACAUAACCUUCGAGUUAGACAGACAUCUGGCUCAGCAUUUUGCCCUCUGUAAAUGAAUCUGUUCUUAACUGUUUAAAUAGAGUCUGCUUAAUUAUUUGAAACACUUGUAUUUUUAAAGCCAUUUUAUUUGAUCAUCAAAUAAAUAUGUUUUAAAAAAUUAACAGGCAUGCCGCAGUACUUAAACAUCGCUUGGGGCUUGUUUAUCUGUCUUUUUGUUCCAUGCUGGAAUGUGUUUGUUGGGGCCCAGCGAGUACCUUAGUGAGUGUCUGUUAUGGAACACAGGCCGGAUUACCAAAUAAAAGGACCGAAAUUAAUGGUAUUGGCAGGAAAACAACAUUAUUGGCACGACCGCAGUCUGGGCGCCCCGAGGAGCAGAAGGACUUCCAGGGCAGCAAUCAGGGCUGCACCCGCUGAUGGCCACACGCCUCCCCGCCCCGCAUGGCGCUGGGUGGCGGCACCUCGGCGGGCAGCACCGGGCCCCGGCGCCGCCAGGGGGCGGGCGGGCCUGUGGGGACCGGGGACAAGGGGACAGGGGG